AAGCCAUUAUGCAGGCAAUUUUUUACCAGCUUCUUAAAUCUCUUCCAUGCAUCACUCAAUGUUUUCCAGUUCUUCUAUAGAAAAUUUGUGAUUUCUCGCUGCCUCU